rnacentral:rRNA from 1 species
CAGCCGCCACGGUAAUACGUAGGGUGCAAGCGUUAAUCGGAAUUACUGGGCGUAAAGCGUGCGCAGGCGGUUUGUUAAGACAGAUGUGAAAUCCCCGGGCUCAACCUGGGAACUGCAUUUGUGACUGGCAAGCUAGAGUGUGGCAGAGGGGGGUGGAAUUCCGCGUGUAGCAGUGAAAUGCGUAGAUAUGCGGAGGAACACCGAUGGCGAAGGCAGCCCCCUGGGCCAACACUGACGCUCAUGCACGAAAGCGUGGGGAGCAAACAGGAUUAGAUACCCCUGUAGUCCCUGUCUCUUAACC